AUCCAGUUGACGAAUCCUAAAUAGGACGAAACGCGCAUCCUGGAU
rnacentral:hammerhead_ribozyme from 1 species